CGCUAGCGGGAUGCUUUACACAUGCAAGUCGAACGGCAGCGCGAGAGAGCUUGCUCUCUUGGCGGCGAGUGGCGGACGGGUGAGUAAUAUAUCGGAACGUGCCCAGUAGCGGGGGAUAACUACUCGAAAGAGUGGCUAAUACCGCAUACGCCCUACGGGGGAAAGGGGGGGAUCGCAAGACCUCUCACUAUUGGAGCGGCCGAUAUCGGAUUAGCUAGUUGGGGGGUAAAGGCUCACCAAGGCAACGAUCCGUAGCUGGUUUGAAGGACGACCAGCCACACUGGGACUGAACACGGCCCAGACUCCUACGGGAGGCAGCAGUGGGGAAUUUUGGACAAUGGGGGAAACCCUGAUCCACCAUCCCGCGUGUAUGAUGAAGGCCUUCGGGUUGUAAAGUACUUUUGGCAGAGAAGAAAAGGUACCUCCUAAUACGAGGUACUGCUGACGGUAUCUGCAGAAUAAGCACCGGCUAACUACGUGCCAGCAGCCGCGGUAAUACGUAGGGUGCAAGCGUUAAUCGGAAUUACUGGGCGUAAAGCGUGUGUAGGCGGUUCGGAAAGAAAGAUGUGAAAUCCCAGGGCUCAACCUUGGAACUGCAUUUUUAACUGCCGAGCUAGAGUAUGUCAGAGGGGGGUAGAAUUCCACGUGUAGCAGUGAAAUGCGUAGAUAUGUGGAGGAAUACCGAUGGCGAAGGCAGCCCCCUGGGAUAAUACUGACGCUCAGACACGAAAGCGUGGGGAGCAAACAGGAUUAGAUACCCUGGUAGUCCACGCCCUAAACGAUGUCAACUAGCUGUUGGGGCCGUUAGGCCUUAGUAGCGCAGCUAACGCGUGAAGUUGACCGCCUGGGGAGUACGGUCGCAAGAUUAAAACUCAAAGGAAUUGACGGGGACCCGCACAAGCGGUGGAUGAUGUGGAUUAAUUCGAUGCAACGCGAAAAACCUUACCUACCCUUGACAUGUCUGGAAAGCCGAAGAGAUUUGGCCGUGCUCGCAAGAGAACCGGAACACAGGUGCUGCAUGGCUGUCGUCAGCUCGUGUCGUGAGAUGUUGGGUUAAGUCCCGCAACGAGCGCAACCCUUGUCAUUAGUUGCUACGCAAGAGCACUCUAAUGAGACUGCCGGUGACAAACCGGAGGAAGGUGGGGAUGACGUCAAGUCCUCAUGGCCCUUAUGGGUAGGGCUUCACACGUCAUACAAUGGUCGGGACAGAGGGUCGCCAACCCGCGAGGGGGAGCCAAUCUCAGAAACCCGAUCGUAGUCCGGAUCGCAGUCUGCAACUCGACUGCGUGAAGUCGGAAUCGCUAGUAAUCGCGGAUCAGAAUGUCGCGGUGAAUACGUUCCCGGGUCUUGUACACACCGCCCGUCACACCAUGGGAGUGGGUUUCACCAGAAGUAGGUAGCCUAACCGUAAGCAG
rnacentral:rRNA from 1 species